GUGAGUAUAGCUCAGUGGUAGAGCGCGUGCUUGGCACGCACAAGGGCGUGGGUUCAGUCCCCAGUAUCUCCA
rnacentral:tRNA from 1 species